rnacentral:snRNA from 1 species
GUGCUCACUGGGACACCACAUAUACUAAAAUUGAAAUGAUACAGAAAAGAUUAGUAUGGCCACUGAGCAGGGAUGACACACAUAUCCAUGAAGCAUUCCAGAUUUUU